rnacentral:rRNA from 1 species
GACGAACGCUGGCGGCGUGCCUAACACAUGCAAGUCGAGCGAAUGAAGUUCCUUCGGGAACGGAUUUAGCGGUGGACGGGUGAGUAACACGUGGGCAACCUGCCUCAUAGAGGGGAAUAGCCUUCCGAAAGGGAGAUUAAUACCGCAUAAGAUUGUAGUACCGCAUGGUACAGCAAUUAAAGGAGCAAUCCGCUAUGAGAUGGGCCCGCGGCGCAUUAGCUAGUUGGUGAGGUAACGGCUCACCAAGGCGACGAUGCGUAGCCGACCUGAGAGGGUGAUCGGCCACAUUGGGACUGAGACACGGCCCAGACUCUACGGGAGGCAGCAGUGGGGAAUAUUGCACAAUGGGGGAAACCCUGAUGCAGCAACGCCGCGUGAGUGAUGACGGCCUGGUGUAAG